rnacentral:rRNA from 1 species
GUCGAGCGGACAGAUGGGAGCUUGCUCCCUGAUGUUAGCGGCGGACGGGUGAGUAACACGUGGGUAACCUGCCUGUAAGACUGGGAUAACUCCGGGAAACCGGGGCUAAUACCGGAUGGUUGUUUGAACCGCAUGGUUCAGACAUAAAAGGUGGCUUCGGCUACCACUUACAGAUGGACCCGCGGCGCAUUAGCUAGUUGGUGAGGUAACGGCUCACCAAGGCGACGAUGCGUAGCCGACCUGAGAGGGUGAUCGGCCACACUGGGACUGAGACACGGCCCAGACUCCUACGGGAGGCAGCAGUAGGGAAUCUUCCGCAAUGGACGAAAGUCUGACGGAGCAACGCCGCGUGAGUGAUGAAGGUUUUCGGAUCGUAAAGCUCUGUUGUUAGGGAAGAACAAGUGCCGUUCAAAUAGGGCGGCACCUUGACGGUACCUAACCAGAAAGCCACGGCUAACUACGUGCCAGCAGCCGCGGUAAUACGUAGGUGGCAAGCGUUGUCCGGAAUUAUUGGGCGUAAAGGGCUCGCAGGCGGUUUCUUAAGUCUGAUGUGAAAGCCCCCGGCUCAACCGGGGAGGGUCAUUGGAAACUGGGGAACUUGAGUGCAGAAGAGGAGAGUGGAAUUCCACGUGUAGCGGUGAAAUGCGUAGAGAUGUGGAGGAACACCAGUGGCGAAGGCGACUCUCUGGUCUGU